rnacentral:rRNA from 1 species
UAACACAUGCAAGUCGAGCGAGGUAGCAAUACCUAGCGGCAGACGGGUGAGUAACAUGUGGGAAUCGUGCCUUUUGGUUCGGAACAACACGGGGAAACCUGUGCUAAUACCGGAUAAGUCUUUACGGAGAAAGCUUUAUGCACCAUUGGAUAGAGCCCGCACUUGAUUAGUUUGUUGGUAGGGUAAUGGCCUACCAAGACUAUGAUCAAUAGCUGAUUUGAGAGGAUGAUCAGCCACAUUGGGACUGAGACACGGCCCAAACUCC